rnacentral:rRNA from 1 species
ACUCCUACGGGAGGCAGCAGUGGGGAAUUUUGGACAAUGGGCGAAAGCCUGAUCCAGCCAUGCCGCGUGAGUGAAUAAGGCCUUCGGGUUGUAAAGCUCUUUUGUCAGGGAAGAAACGGUGAAAGCUAAUAUCUUUUGCUAAUGACGGUACCUGAAGAAUAAGCACCGGCUAACUACGUGCCAGCAGCAGCGGUAAUACGUAGGGUGCAAGCGUUAAUCGGAAUUACUGGGCGUAGAGCGAGCGCAGGCGGUUUUGUAAGUCUGAUGUGAAAUCCCCGGGCUCAACCUGGGAAUUGCAUUGGAGACUGCAAGGCUAGAAUCUGGAAGAGGGGGGUAGAAUUCCACGUGUAGCAGUGAAAUGCGUAGAUAUGUGGAGGAACACCGAUGGCGAAGGCAGCCCCCUGGGUCAAGAUUGACGCUCAUGCACGAAAGCGUGGGGAGCAAACAGGAUUAGAAACCCGAGUAGUCCCA